AGUGGGGGAUAACGUAGCGAAAGUUACGCUAAUACCGCAUAUGCCCUGAGGGGGAAAGGAGGGGAUCGCAAGACCUUUCGCUUUCGGAGUGGCCGAUAUCAGAUUAGCUAGUUGGUGGGGUAAAGGCCCACCAAGGCGACGAUCUGUAGCGGGUCUGAGAGGAUGAUCCGCCACACUGGGACUGAGACACGGCCCAGACUCCUACGGGAGGCAGCAGUGGGGAAUUUUGGACAAUGGGGGCAACCCUGAUCCAGCCAUGCCGCGUGAGUGAAGAAGGCCUUCGGGUUGUAAAGCUCUUUCGGACGGAAAGAAAUCCUAUUCGCUAAUACCGGGUGGGGAUGACGGUACCGUAAGAAGAAGCACCGGCUAACUACGUGCCAGCAGCCGCGGUAAUACGUAGGGUGCGAGCGUUAAUCGGAAUUACUGGGCGUAAAGCGUGCGCAGGCGGUUUUGUAAGACAGAUGUGAAAUCCCCGGGCUUAACCUGGGAACUGCAUUUGUGACUGCAAGGCUAGAGUGCGGCAGAGGGGGGUAGAAUUCCA
rnacentral:rRNA from 1 species